AACCGUCGCAGGUUUUUUUGUUUAAUUAAUUAGAAUGCGCGUUGUAUCUUUUCAUUCCCCGCUUUACCAAAAUUUCGUUCCCCCAUUUCUCACUUUCCCAACCUCGCCUGAAAGAGAGAGAGAACUCACAAAUCUCCAUCGCAAAUCUCCACUCCAUCUCCAUCUCCAUCUCCAUCUCACUCGUUGCUCAAUCACAAAACCUCAGAACCCUCAGAAUCACAAAACCUAACUCUCAAAAUCACAAAAUCCCCAAUUGGUUCUCACCCAAAACCCUCAGAAUCACAAAACCUAACUCUCAAAAUCACAAUCGGUUCUCACCAAAAACCCUCAGAAUCAGUUCUCACUCAAUCAUGCACUCACUCAAUCACAAUCGGAACUCAAUCGGCGCAAUCGGAACUCACUCACUCAAUCAUAACUGAAAUGGUGCUCAAAAGGUGCUCACUCACUCGUUGUUCUCAAUCCUUCUCAUUAUUUUAGCAUCUGAUUAUUUUAGCAUCGAUUUGGACUGGGAAUUUGGGGUUUCAUUUGAUGUUUGGUGGGGCUGGCUGUUGUGUUUCUUAGUUUUUUUUUUUUUGUUAAUUUGGGGUGUCAUUCAUAUCAAAUAGAAAUUAUAAAGAAAUGUAAAUUCAAUGCAAUCUUCUAGAUAAUUUUUGUUUUUAUUUUUUAAAGAAUUCUUAGUUUUUUUUGUUGAUUUCAAUGAUUAUUUUUGUUAAUAUGUUGAUUAUUUUUGUUUUUUGAGUGAUUUUUCAUGCCAUUGAAAAUGGAAUGCUCUUAAUCUGGUUCUUACGACAGUAGAGGGGAUGAAGUUUGAUUUUUUUUUUUGUGAUUUGUCUUUACCAAGAGUAGAGUCCAGCUUAUGAGAUUCUUGGGUCUGAAAUUGUGUGAGAAAAUAAACAUGACAUGAUGAAAAGUAUAACCUGUGGUUUCUGUUCUGUUAUCCAACCUUUUGGGAAGGAGUUAUUAUUAGUUUUAUGUGAGAGUUUAGCAUUGAAAAAGUAAAUUGGACUCUGCAGCAAGCUAACUAACUACAACUUUGGUUUUUGGUAAAAGUCAUGUGUUGUAAGGUUCAUAUUCAUGUUUAACUUUAUACUUUAACUUAGUGUAUGAUAUGUUUAUAAUUUGCUGCUAUGUUUCGUGUAUUCUAAAUUUGUAACUAAGGGUUUGGGAUCUCAAACUUUGCUGCUAUAAUGACUUAUUAGUUAGGGUCAAAUCUUAAGUUUAUUGGUUCUGUUAUGGACAUGAAAACACUAACUUAGUGUAUGAUAUUAGUCUUUGAAUGAUAUUAACUUAGUGUAUGAUAUUAACUUUACACUUUAACUUAGUGUAUGAUAUGUUUAUACUUUAUGCUUAAUUAUCUUUGAAUUCUAUUAGUCUUUUAAUGUUUAGAAACUCAGAGAGUUAUUGUUCUAGUAAAAAAUAAAGUCAAGAACUACUUUGAAUAACAACUUAAUUUAUUCGUGAGCACUAGGUUAGGAGGCAUGUCACAUUCAGAUGACACUAGGUUAGGUUCGCAAGUGAGUGUGUGUGUGUGGCUGCUAUCUAAUGCUAUUGUUUACUUUAUUUGAGGUGUUAAUUGAUUUGGUUGCAAUUUCAGAGCUAUAAAAGGAGAUGCUACUCAUCAGAAAAGGGCUUCACAUGGUUUUUGUUUUAGUUUUACUAUUCAACACUAGUUUUUCAGUUGUAUUUUAUUAUUUCUUUUGAAACUUUUGGCUACUAGAGAGAUAAGAAUUCUAUUCUAAAGCAUGUUUUCUUUGGAAUCGAAAGCUUAGUUUUCUUUAUCAUACCCUUAUUUUCAAUGAAAGUCACCGUUCCUUUAAAUUUUCAUUCCCAUAAUUUUAUCCCAAUUCCCUUUAUUUGAAAUGCUGCUACCUAUUAUUUUUAUUGAUUCCAAUUGAGUUGCUGUUUUGCACAUCUGUUCUGAUAUGUGUUUCAAUUCUAUAAGUUUUCUUGUUACUGCACUUAUUUAUUAUAAUUCAUUCAACUUCAUAUUGCUUGCUAUUCUAAUUGAGUUUCUUUUCCGGCUGCUAUUACUACACAUAUAUUCCAAAUCCAUUUGGCUGCCGUAUUCAAUUGUUGCUGCCGUUUUAUUGUUUUGUCCCGUAUUCCAUACCUAUAAUCAGACCAUGUUGCAUGUGGCUCUUCUAUUUCGAUACCAAUCUCUUUGAAUUGCUAGUUUAAUUUGCUUUAAUUAAAGUUCAUGUUGUUGCUUCUGUUAGGCGCUGCUGCUACCAAUUCAAUCAAUUUUGAUUGAAUUGCUUUGGUACGCUGUACUACUUUCUUUUAAUUUGCUUUAAUUAAAGUUCAUGUUGUUGCUUCUGUUAGGUGCUGCUGCUACCAAUUCAAUCAACUUUGAUUGAAUUGCUUUGGUACACUGUACUACUUCACGCUGUAGUGGUCAUUAUCGCAGCUGCUCUUUUAUUUAUUUUUUAAGUUGCUAUCUGAUAACAUGUUCCGUUCUUUUGUUAUUUAUUAGCUUUCUAUUUAGUAUGAACUCAGUAGAAGUAAAUUUAGUGUUUGAUUUAAUUAUGUAUGAGUAGUCUAACUUUAGCUUUCUUUAUUUUGUCUUUUGUUUCAUUAGCUUCUACGAUGGAAUUGUUAGACAACUUAUGUUUGGUGGCUUUGAUGAACUAUGCGUUUGGACUUUAUCUCAAUGCACAACUUAUGUUAAACAGAUUUACUUUGUACUUGCAUAAUCUUAAUGAAGAGUUUGUUUAUCGGCAAGGUUAUUUGCACCACAGUAUAUUAAGUGCAUUUUUUGAAUGAUCUCAGGCUUUCCUGAAUUGUUAUCUG
rnacentral:lncRNA from 1 species